CCCCUAGACGUUCUGGGCUGCACGCGCGCUACAAUAAUACGCACAGCGAGUAUCACCGAGCUCGAAAGGGCAAGGUAAACAAUAGAAAAGGUACUGUAAUGGUUAUAGAUCCUUGUAAUUAUUGAUCUUCAACGAGGAAUUCCUAGUAAGUAUGUGUCAUCAUCACGCACUGAUUACGUCCCUGCCCUUUGUACACACCGCCCGUCGCUCCUACCGAUUUUGAGUGGUCCGGUGAACCUUCUGGAUUGUGCGGCUUGCCGCGCGAGAAGUUAUGUAAACCUUAUCACUUAGAGGAAGGAGAAGUCGUAACA
rnacentral:rRNA from 1 species